rnacentral:rRNA from 1 species
AUACGUAGGGGGCGAGCGUUGUCCGGAAUUAUUGGGCGUAAAGGGUUCGCAGGCGGUCUGAUAAGUCAGAUGUGAAAGGCAAUGGCUCAACCAUUGUAAGCAUUUGGAACUGUCAGACUUGAGUUAAGGAGAGGAAAGUGGAAUUCCUAGGGUAGCGGUGAAAUGCGUAGAUAUUAGGAGGAAUACCAGUGGCGAAGGCGACUUUCUGGACUUAUACUGACACUGAGGAACGAAAGCGUGGGGAGCAAACAGGAUUAGAUUCCCUGGUAGUCCACGCCGUAAACGAUGAGUGCUAGGUGUUGGGGGUCAAACCUCGGUGCCGCAGCUAACGCAUUAAGCACUCCGCCUGGGGAGUACGUACGCAAGUAUGAAACUCAAAUGAAUUGACGGGG